UUUCCCUCGCUUAUCAAAAACCACAAGGAUUUCCUGUUUCAUCAUUCUCUACGUCUACCUAGAGUGGUCUAAAGGUGAAAUGCCUGAAUAUUAAGCCAUAAUCAAUCAUUGUACACACACUAAUUACUUUCUGUCCUCCCCUUUCCUUGUCAUCAUGGUCCAAAGCAGGUUUUUGAGACUGAGUACAUUCAUCUGAGCUGUUAGCUGCUACGCUCCACUGCGUCCUUGUAUGAUCUGCCUGGUCCAGACCCCUGGAGAAAAUUUGUGCAUGCAUACUGUAUGUGAACUUUAGAUAAAUAAAUAAACACGCGAAACAGCUUCCAGAUAAUUGAAAGUGAAUGAAGGAGGGAGCAAAAAGAAAACAAUUUCUCUGGGGAUAAGCAGCGAAGGUGGCAGAUGUUACAAACACUCAGAUGAGUUUUCUGCAACAAAUUUGUACCUCACAGAGGAAGUUACUCAGAGAGAGAGAGAGAGAA